AUGAACGCUGGCGGCGUGCCUAAUACAUGCAAGUCGAGCGAACAGACGAGGAGCUUGCUCCUCUGACGUUAGCGGCGGACGGGUGAGUAACACGUGGAUAACCUACCUAUAAGACUGGGAUAACUUCGGGAAACCGGAGCUAAUACCGGAUAAUAUAUUGAACCGCAUGGUUCAAUAGUGAAAGACGGUUUUGCUGUCACUUAUAGAUGGAUCCGCGCCGCAUUAGCUAGUUGGUAAGGUAACGGCUUACCAAGGCGACGAUGCGUAGCCGACCUGAGAGGGGGAUGGGCCACACGGGAAGUGACACACGGUCAAGACCCCUAGGGGAGGCAGAAGCAGGGAAUGUUCCGAAAUGGGCGAAAGCUUGAAGAAGAAACGCCGCGGGGGGGAAGAAGUUCUUCGGAUCGUAAAACUCUGUUAUUGGGAAAGAACAAAUGUGUAAGUAACUAUGCACGGCUUGACGGUACCUAAGAAGAAAGCCACGGCUAACUACGU
rnacentral:rRNA from 1 species